UACGGAGGAUGCGAGCGUUAUCCGGAUUUAUUGGGUUUAAAGGGUGCGCAGGCGGAUUUUUAAGUCAGCGGUCAAAUCGUGGGGCUCAACCCCAUCCAGCCGUUGAAACUGGUGAUCUUGAGUGGGCGAGAAGUAUGCGGAAUGCGUGGUGUAGCGGUGAAAUGCAUAGAUAUCACGCAGAACUCCGAUUGCGAAGGCAGCUUACCAGUCUGCGACUGACGCUGAAGCACGAGAGCGUGGGUAGCGAACAGG
rnacentral:rRNA from 1 species